rnacentral:lncRNA from 1 species
GCAGGCCUUGCAGAGAACUACCUUUUUAGCUGAGUGAAGGGAUCAACCUGAGUUGGAGUUCUCCUAUGCUGUGGCCAGAUCCACUAGAAAUUAACCCAGAAUCUUAGCCUCUCAGUGGCCUAUCGGUGAUGCCACACUCAAUCAGAAACUAUGCUACUGCUGAAGAGGUAUAUUGAGCCCUGCCUGGUUAACCUCCAGUGAGGUUAUUAGAGAAUUGGGAGAGGCUCAAAUCAGCAUCCUGCACCUAGUUAUCAAACCAUUGUGAAGUCUUGCAAGUUCAUCAGAGGGCGAGGAUGAAUUACGGUUGCCAUGAAUGUCCUUGUGAGGCAGUUGGGAAGCCUUGGCUGGAUUGUGAAGGAUAUUUGAAAAGUAUUUUAGAGUCCACCAGAUCAUCCAUGUGAGUGACCAUGCAGCAAAAGAAGGAGGGUCCUCUCAGUGAUUAAGGAUUAUGAAGUAUUAAUUCUUCCACUGAUAUCUCAAAAGGUGAUCUGGACAAAGGAACAGGUAUCUCAGAUUCCCAGUUCUCAAUCUUCCUUCCUCCUUACAAGAUACAAGCAACCUUCAACCUUCCCAGAGAUGGUCUCUGUAUAUGAAAGACAAUGGUCUUAUUAUGAAGUCGGCAUAUUUAUAGCUUGAUAAAAACUGAAAAAUCUGUAGCCUAUUUUUAAUAGUGAUAUAUAAGGAAAUAACAUAAAUAAAAAUUUGGCAACAAGAAUCCAGGAGCAAAUUUAUGAUCAAUACACAAUUGGGCAAGUGGUGUUCAUACCAACCAUGCAAAAAUGGUUCAAUUUUAGGAAAUCUUUGAAUAUAGCUUUUAGUAGGUCAGAGGAAAUCAGUAUCUCAAAGUACUUUCAUGAUUUAGUUAUUUUUAAGUUAUUGAUCAUUUUGGAUUUUAUUUUGAGGUUGAUAGCCAUAUAAUGAUUUCACAUUUUAUUUUAAAUGGCUAGCUGUUGUCCCAAUACUAUUUACUGAAAAAUCUACAUUUUGCUCACUCUUUUUUUUUUUUUUUAAGAGACAGGGUUUUACCAUGUUGCCCAGGCUAGAUUUGAACUCCUGGGCUCAAGUGAUCCUCUCGACCCAGCCUCCUGAGUAUCUGUGACUGCAGGCAAGUACCCCUGUGCCUGCUCACUUAUUUAAAGUUCUACACAUCAAAUACUAAAUUCUCAUCUAUUUGACUUCUGGACUCACUGGUUGGUGUCAUUGACUGUCUUUUCCUGUGAUAGCAUAGAAUUAUUUUGAUUGUGGAAGUACUAUAAAUGUUGCUAUUUAUUGUGCCUCUUGCUGCCUAUCUAUAUUUAGACUCAUUUAUGUGAUGCCAUUCUGUAUACUCUAAAUUUUUUGGUUCUAUUUUAAUAAUGUUUGAGUCAAUGACUUUUCAUGACUCUUGACUUCCCUACUUCAACAGUUUACUAGUCUCCAUCUUGAAUGUUUUUAUUAAUCUAUUUUGUGUUAAUUCUACCCAGGUUUUUUGUUUUUCCUUGCUACUAUUAUAUAUAUUUCUGCCAGAUGUCACAUGGUAUAAAUGCCUAUAUGGACUUUUGUAACAGAAAAUUUACUUACUAGAAUUAAUGUAGGGGGCUUUUUAAUAAGAGUGCAUGUAACAUAGUAACAGUAGCAGAGCUAUAUCAGAAACAGUUCUGAUAAUAUUUCAUGAUCUAUAGUUUGUUGCAUGCCCAUUGCUUCAUACUGCUUGUGUUCUUGGUUGAGUCAUAAGUAAUUUUUAUGGGGUGUGUCAUGACUGUCAUAUUCAUAGAGAGUUGUCUGCCUUGCCCCAUGGUCUUUGCAUGGCUUAAACAGGACCCCUUUUCAUACACAAGUCAUUCAAUUUUAUGUUUUUAAUAGCAUCAAUUUUAGUGUUUAACAUGUGUCUCUGGACUAUGCAUCAGAAUACUUGACUGUUAGUGUGAAAUGAAAAUUCAUGGAUAUCAUAAUUUAUGUAACAUAAUUUAACAUUUCUUUAUUAAUAAGACUUUAGAUUGUCCCUUUCACAAAAAAAUGGUGCGGUUAAAACUUAAUCCUUGUGUCUUUUUGUGAGUAGUUCUAUGAUUUCUAUAUGAUGGCAUCCUUGAAAAAGUUGGUAAAAAUAAGAAUAGUUCUUAUUUAUUAAAGUUCUUCUCAAAUUGCUCUUCCAAAACAUUUUAGUUUAUACUGCAAUGUUAACCAUUUUACACUUGCUUAAGUAAUUUUCUUCAAAUACACACGAGUCCAGGCUAUUUAACCUUAUUUUACCGCUAUAGCACAAAACAGGUUUUCCAAAAUUGUCCUUGCACACCUGGGAUUUUACAAGGAUAUUAUAAUCUUGGUUCAGUUUGACUUACUGAAUUUGUAGUAAGUAUAUUUUAGCACAUAGAAAAUUCAAAAUAUGUGUUAAUCUGUUUAUAGGGUAAAUUUUUAUGAGGGUGGAUGUCAUCCUGUUUUUUUUUUUUUUAAUAAAUGUUUUGUUUCAGAAUGUUUUUUAUUUACAGAAAAGUUACAAACAUAGUACAGAGAGUUCCCAAAUGCUCCACACCGAGUUUUCCCUAUUGUUUUUUUUUUUUUUUUUGAGAUGGAGUCUCGCUCUGUUGCCCAGGCUGGAGUGCAGUGGUGCAAUUUCGGCUCACUGCAAGCUCCGCCUCCCGGGUGCACCCCAUUCUCCUGCCUCAGCCUCCGGAGUAGCUGGGACUACAGGUGCCCGCCACCGUGCCCGGCUAAUUUUUUGUAUUUUUAUUAGAGACGAGGUUUCACUGUGUUAGCCAGGAUGGUCUCGAUCUCCUGACCUCGUGAUCCGCCCGCCUCGGCCUCCCAAAGUGCUGGGAUUACAGGCCUGAGCCACCGAGCCCGACCAGUUUUCCCUAUUGUUAAUAUCUUGAAUUAGUAUAGUACAUUUGUCUCCUUCUCCUUUUUGCCCUUGGUAACCUCUAAUCUACUUUCAGUCUCUGAAUUUGCCUAUUCCAAAUAUUUUGUAUAAGUGGAAUCAUACAAUAUUUGUCCUUUUGCUUCUGGCGUAUUUCACUUAGCACAAUGCCUUCAAGGUUCAUCCAUGUUAUAGCAUAUGUCAGAACUUUAUUCUUUUUUAUAGCUGAAUAAUAUUUCAUUGUGUGUAUAUGCCACAUUUUGUUUAUCAUUCAUUUUGUUUAUGUACCAUGUUUUGUUUAUAUACAUCUAUUAGUAUGUAUUUGUUUAGAUAUACAAUUUGCUUGUAUACCACAUUUUGUUUUUCUGCUAUCUAAUGGAUUAUGCUGCUCUGGAACAUUCAUGUGAUGCUUUUGUUAAUUGCUUAUACAUUUUAUUAAGCUAAUGAGCUUGGUCAUAGUAACAUAUAAAAUCA